rnacentral:lncRNA from 1 species
UAAUGGUGGCGGAUGUGUCCUGGCUUCCUAUAAUGCCUCAUUUUCAUUUCCUGGCACAUGCCAUGUGCUUUCCUAUAUGAAUUCUUCUGUAAGUGCUGAGAUGAGAGGCCCAAAUAUUUCUGGGAUCAUAAAAACAGGCAGAGUGCCCAAGUGCUGGGCUGUUGUCAUCCCAUGCAGGCAUGUGUAAUGUAAAGCUGUGUAAUUUCUAUGGGUUUGUUCAUACAAAAAUAUGGCAAAGCCAUAGUGGCAAAGUAGAGUUCUUCUGUAUUGGCAUCCAUACCUACCUUGAAGGACUGCAGCCUGUAGGAAGAGCUCAUCCUGGAACAGAGAAAAAUGUGAGGAGGCAGAAAAGAACAGUUGUGCUCUGACCAAAACUAUUCCGUUCCACAGCCCACAGUCCUGUGGAGGGCUGGAGGAAAUAGAAGAUUCAUUAAUGAAGGAUAGAAGUUGAAUCUUUAAGAAAGUGGUGUGGAUUAACUGAAUAAUGGAAUCAAAGAACCAUAGAAUGUUAAGGCCGAGAAGGGACCUUAAAGAUCAUCAUCCAAACACCCCCUGCCAUGGUCAAGGACACUGUGAACUUAAUUCACGGGCUGUUUUGGGGAAGAAGGGGUUGCAUUUUUUUCUUUUCUUCUGUUUCUCAAUAUCCUGUUUUAUUUUUUCAUAGUCAGUGUCUUAAACAAAUGUUCCCCAAUGCAACUCUAUUUUUCCCUUUUCCCAACCCUCUAUCCCUCACUGACCGUCUCUUCUGGCCAGUCCACUCUGUGUUUCCCAGACAGGCUUUUCAGAAGUCUCCACUCAGGUGCUGUCGUCCCUGCUAGAGAUGCUGCCACCAACGUCCUCGGGCAGGAACCUUCAAGACUUUGGAACAUGGUGCCUGAAUGCAAAUGGAGUUCUGGACUCUUGUAUUUAAGGCUUUGGACUUCUGUUUUCUUCCUGUCCUCCACUUAUUUUUUUCUUCCCUUUCGUUCCUGUCACAACCACUUAAUGCCAGCCUAGUGGGACCUGCUGUCCUUCAUCCGUCAGCAGCCCAGGACAUCAGACAUCCCCACUUCACCAUAAUGGCUUCCCUCAGGGUCUCCCUUUGAAUCUUCUUCUUCUCUUGUUUUGAUUUAAUAAAGUUUUUUUUCAUUCAAACCUUGGUCUCUGA